ensembl:miRNA dre-mir-7146 dre-mir-7146
GACAGAAAAAGAGAUAUUUUGAAAAAUGUUGUAAGCCGGUAACCAUUGACCUCCAUAGUAUUUGUUUUCCCUGUUAUGAAGGUCAAUGGUUACCAGUUUUCAGCUUUCUUCUGAACAUCAUCUUUUUUGUU